CAAAACACAGCCAAGUAAAAACUACCAAAUUAUCACAUGAAUUGUUCGCUUAGUGUGGGGUAUUUCGGGUUGCUUUUGGGACAAUGACUUGAUGGACAACGAAAACAUCUCAGAAUUUUAAUGGACAGGAAUACAACGAAGACUCAAAGAAAAUCAAUUAUCCAACAUUAAAUGCGAGCUACCUUUUUGUGAUAAUUUGAUGAACUGAAAAAUUUAAUUCGAGCGUUUAUAUCUCAGUACUGAAAUUAAUUCUAAAUCCGUAAAAUUCUUAAUUAAUACUAGUUUGUAAAAGAAAAAUCUACAUUUGAAUCAAUCAAUUAUUAAGUGCCAUGGAUUCUUCGCGGCUCUACAUAGGAAAUGUUAGAUGACAAAGUAUCCGUUUGUAUAAUUGCCACAUGCGAAAGACAAGUAAUUCACCAUCAAAGAAGUCUCCUCUGAAGCAGCCCAUUGCCUAAAAAGACUGGUAAGGUAAAAUCGAUAUGAAUUACAAGAGAUCAAGUAUUGCUCCAGAAAACAUUGGAUCGACAAACUCGGCGGAGACCGACACUACUAUGCUAACCCCAAACAAACCAGAAAGCUUUGCAGAAUUUGCUGAGAAUACGACAAUGCAUGGAGGUCGUUUUCUUAUCCAUAAAAGCAUUAAAAGACGAGUGUUUUGGUUUGUGUGUAUUCUAGCUGCAGCUUCAUAUUGUCAGUAUUCAUUGUACCAACAUUUCACGUACUUUUUGCAAAGACCAUAUACAACCGCCAUCUCAUCRAAACGAGAGAAAACAAGUAUAUUUCCCGAYAUUUCAAUCUGCAACAUUAAUC